CCUACGGGAGGCAGCAGUGGGGAAUCUUGCGCAAUGGGCGGAAGCCUGACGCAGCGACGCCGCGUGGGUGAAGAAGGCCUUUGGGUCGUAAAGCCCUGUUGUACGGGACGAAGGGAGUGACGGUACCGUACGAGGAAGCCCUGGCUAACUACGUGCCAGCAGCCGCGGUAAU
rnacentral:rRNA from 1 species